GUCCACGCCGUAAACGAUGUCGAUUUGGAGGCUGUGUCCUUGAGACGUGGCUUCCGGAGCUAACGCGUUAAAUCGACCGCCUGGGGAGUACGGUCGCAAGACUAAAACUCAAAAUGAAUUGACGGGGGCCCGCACAAGCGGUGGAGCAUGUGGUUUAAUUCGAUGCAACGCGAAGAACCUUACCUGGCCUUGACAUGUCUGGAAUCCUGCAGAGAUGCGGGAGUGCCUUCGGGAAUCAGAACACAGGUGCUGCAUGGCUGUCGU
rnacentral:rRNA from 1 species